rnacentral:rRNA from 1 species
UUCUGCAGAAAGUGAUACCAUCGGUGGUAAAGGNUUGCUCAAUCUAAGCAAGAGUUGGGCCUUGUCAGUACUUGGAUUGGAAAACCUCAAGGAAAAGCCAGUUUCUGCAGAAA